GGAAAUCCUGGAUCCGUCAAUGAUAUGGGAGAAGACAGAUGGGAUCUAUGAAAUACAGCAUACGUUUAUUUGAAGAUAAUGGGCCUACUGCUUGGUGGUUUAUUGGAUUGUGAAAAGUGACACUGGAUUAACGAAUUACCAGAGCAAUCCAUUCCAGGACAGAUUAUGAAAGCUGCUUUGCUCUUGUUGAUUUUAAUAUCUUAUGAUAUACAAAUACAGAUUAAGUAUUAAAAAUAAAAUAAAAGUCUUCAACACCAUG